AAAUGAUAGUAUUGCAUUCCACACUUUUGAACUGAAUUAUAUAAUAUGUUAUAUGUUAUUAUUACUUUAACCUUUCAGUUCAUAUGAUAUGAUUCCGACUUCUAUUGUGUAUAGUGAUACUUUUGUUUGGGGUUUUAGCAAGUAACCCUGUAUACUAAUUGUUAAGUUAAUUUGGGAUUUGGGAUUACUCUCCAAUAUUGUGUUUUCAAUAGAAAUAUCCAUGUAGUCAGUUAUCUUUUAUGAAAGAAAUUUGCAAUAAAUUGAUAAUUACCAUGAUGAUUCUUGCGGGAUUAAAAUGAUACUCCAAAUACGUU
rnacentral:lncRNA from 1 species